rnacentral:rRNA from 1 species
CAGCCGCCGCGGUAAUACGUAGGUGGCAAGCGUUGUCCGGAAUUAUUGGGCGUAAAGCGCGCGCAGGCGGUUCCUUAAGUCUGAUGUGAAAUCUCGCGGCUCAACCGCGAGCGGCCAUUGGAAACUGGGGAACUUGAGUGCAGGAGAGGGGAGCGGAAUUCCACGUGUAGCGGUGAAAUGCGUAGAGAUGUGGAGGAACACCAGUGGCGAAGGCGGCUCUCUGGCCUGUAACUGACGCUGAGGCGCGAAAGCGUGGGGAGCGAACAGGAUUAGAUACCCUAGUAGUCCACGCCGUAAACGAUGAGUGCUAAGUGUUAGAGGGUAUCCACCCUUUAGUGCUGCAGCAAACGCAUUAAGCACUCCGCCUGGGGAGUACGGCCGCAAGGCUGAAACUUAAAGGAAUUGGCGGG